GGGCCUCUAGCUCAAUUGGCAGAGCAGCGGACUUUUAAUCCGCGGGUUCAGGGUUCGAUCCCCUGGGGGCCCACAA
rnacentral:tRNA from 1 species